AACUCUCAACCCCCCUGUUUUGUAACGAGACGGGCGUGGGCUUGGAUUAUGGCUGUCUGUCGGCGUCAAGCCGGCUCAGCUGAAAUACACGAGCAAUCCAUUUGAAAUAGACGGUUUGACUCGGCGUAAUAAUUAUUUCGCUGAGGACGUCUUCUUUAAAGUCAGUGGUGCUUCUAAUGCGUACUUAUACAUUAUAAGC
rnacentral:misc_RNA from 1 species